rnacentral:rRNA from 1 species
AGUGAACUAGAACCUGAAACCCUGCACUUACAAGCUGUGGAAGCACAUUUCUUGUGUGACCGCGUACUUUUUGUAGAACGGGCCAACGAGUUACGUUAAGUAGCAAGGUUAAGCACUUAAGGUGCGGAGCCGUAGCGAAAGCGCGUUUUAACUGAGCGUUCAGUUACUUGACGUAGACCCGAAACCGGGCGACCUACCCAUGAGCAGGAUGAAGCGAAAGUAAAAUUUCGUGGAGGUCCGAACCCACGAGCGUUGAAAAGCUCGGGGAUGACUUGUGGGUAGCGGUGAAAUUCCAAUCGAGCCCGGAGAUAGCUGGUUCUCCCCGAAAUAGCUUUAGGGCUAGCCUCAAGGUGAGAGAUACGGAGGUAGAGCACUGAAUGUCCUAGGGG